AUAGCGUAUAUUAAAGUUGUUGCGGUUAAAAAGCUCGUAGUUGGAUCUCAGUUCAUGUUAAGUGGUCCACCUAAUGGUGGUUACUACUUAGCUGAACAUUUUACAGAUUUGUCUCUUGAUGCUCUUCACCGAGUGUCAUGAGCGAUCUGUACGUUUACUUUGAAAAAAUUAGAGUGCUCAAAGCAGGCAAUUCGCCCGAAUAAUCUUGCAUGGAAUAAUGGAAUAGGACCUUGGUUCUAUUUUGUUGGUCUUCGGAAUCUGAGGUAAUGAUUAAGAGGGACAGACGGGGGCAUUCGUAUUGCGGCGCUAGAGGUGAAAUUCUUGGACCGUCGCAAGACGAACUACAG
rnacentral:rRNA from 1 species